AUCGAGUAAAAGAAUCCCUUGGAAAAUUUGUUUCAAAUGCAAAUUCCUGAAGUCAGCUCCAGAGAUUCUGUUUCAAGUUUUUCCUCAGAUUAUCACAGAAUACUGAGUACAGUUCCUUGUGCUAUAUACCAGGUGUCCAUUGGCCAAUCACUCCAUAUACCUCAAUGUGCAUAUGUCAGUCUCAGACCUCCAGUCCAUCCCUCCCUGCCACCUGCUCCCUUUGGUAAUGGUAAGUUUGUCUUCAAAGCCUGUGCAUCUGUUUCUCUUCUGCAAAUAAGUUCAUUUGUAUCCAUUUUUUAGAUUCACAUAUAAGUGAUAUCAUAAGAUGUCUCUCUUUCACUGUCUGGCUAACUUAGUAUGAUAAUCUCUAAAUCCAUCCAUGUUGCUGCAAAUGGCAUUAUUUCAUUAUUUUUAAUGCUUAAUUAAUAGUCCAUUGUAUAUAUGUACCACGUCUUCUUUAUCCAUUCCUUUGUCAAUGGACAAUUUACAAUAGCCAAGACAUGUAAGCAACCCAAAGUAUUCUUUUUAGCAAAGGAUAAUGUGUAGUGGUUAUCAAAUUUGGCUAUGGUUGCUAUAGAUCCUAAGAAUUCUGAAAUAAAAAUAUAAGUUAUCUCCACUGACCCCAUGCCACACACCCAAUUUAUAAAUGAUGGGAUAAAGAUAGGAUAAGAGCAAUGGAACCCCAUCUGUGGUGAUAUAAAAUAAAAGACACUGGUGCAUACCUUUUCUGAAAUCCCAAUGGCAGAUCUGGUGAGUGACUUAGGCUCUGGGAGUGAGGACUGCUCAUUAAUAAGGCCCUGAAAAUACUCUUUAAGAGAUCCUUUGCUCAUGGUUGUCCAUGGCCCUAAGCUCUGUCCACCUGAAGGGUCUUCCUUUUCUAUUACAGUGCUUGGCCAAAUCUGAAAUGGGCAUUGGAAGAAUAUGCUGAUACUCGGAUCUUUGUAUAUUAACGGAUCACUGUCUGUGUGUGGGUAUCUGGGUGACCAAGACUCAUCGUAAGUCUCAAAUCAUCACAAACUCCUGUAUCUUUUAUCAGUACAGCUCUCUCAGAAAUUUAAUAGGAUUUUCAUCUGUUCGAUUCUAGCAAUCAGUUUUCCAGUAGCCACACUCUUCAUUCUUAAAAAGUUUCCCCAAACUCUAUGUGGACAAAACUGAUAAACUGUAUUUUUUUUUUUUUUUUGACUUUUUGACUAACGGAAGGCACUUUAAGUCUAUCAGCUUUGGUACAGUAAAUCUACAUCUUACCUUCUUUAUACUGAGUCAUUUCUUCCAGUUGAAAAGUUACUAUGUCAGGAUUCCCACUUCUGGCCAUGAUGGAGAAACAUGGACCCAAUUUAAUAUCCUGCGUUAUACAACUAAAAAGCUGGUAAAACGUAAUUGUUUUCACACAUUGGGUAUAAGACAGCAUAGGAUUGUGAUCACUGAGAAAUAGGAAACAAAUGCAUAGGGUUCUAGGAUGCCCUAGUUUUCUAUCUGGAGGCACAUUUGGACCAGUGGGUUAGGGUUAGGGUUAGGGUUAGGGUUAGGGUUAGGGUUAGGGUUAGGGUUAGGGAAGAGGAUGCCAAACAGAGCUGUGGUUGCCUCAGUGAACUGAGAAGGCAAAGGUAAAAGUUUGGAGUGUCUGAGGUAGCUAGAAUUUGUGGAAAAGAGUUACAGAGAAGAGAAAGUAUCACAGAAAAGACCUCCAGAAAUCUCUGAGUUCCCUCGACUUUAGCUGAAUAACAAACGUUUGGUACAUAGAAUGAAAUUCUGUCAGUUUAGGCCAAAGAACAUCUGGGUAGCCAUGAGCUGAACAGUACCCAGAACUAACCCGUGGCCACAGUAAACUUCUUAGUAAUCACUCAGUGGAGACUAAGAAGGACCAUAGCUUAGUCAUCGGGCUAAGCUAGACCUAAGAGUAAAGGCUAAUCUGGACCCUCGCAAAAUGAAAACAAAGGGUGAAAGGAUCAGACCUAAGAGCAAGUAACUUAAUUUAGGAUAGGACAAAGCCCAGACUCCUUAAAGGAAGACAACAAAAUCAAGAUUCUCAACAAUAUAAAUAUAUAUUUUAUCCUGAUACCCAGGAUAAAAUAUAAUGACUACAUAAAAAAAUUAGGAAAAUGAGACCUAUAAUUAGAGCAAAAAUCAGUCAAUAGAAACAGGCCCAGCAGCCAAUAAAUAUCAGUAGAGAAAAUGCUGUCUUUUAAACAAACCGUGCUGGGUCUGUUUUUAUCUAUAAGGAAAAAAAUGAAUGUUGACUUUUACUUCAUGUUGUACACAAAAAUUAACUUGAAAUGUAUAAGUCAAUGAAACAUAAAUGCUAAAGCUAGAAGAACAAGUAGAUAAAAUAUCCUUAUGACUUUGGGUAAGCAAAGUUUUUUGUUAGUAUCGAAAGCAUAAAAGUCACUGAUAUGUUGGAGUUUAUCAUUAUUAAAACAGCCACUCUUGGAGUGCUCGCUGUAGCCCAGCAAUAAUGAACCCAACUAGUAUCCAUGUGGAUGAAGGUUCAAUCCCUGGCCUUACUCAGUGGGUUAAAGAUCCAGUGUUGCAGACAUCCUUUAUAUUCUCAACAAUAUAAACUUCAUGAUAUCCAGGAUGUACUGUGGCUCAUAUAUCGUGGUGCUGUGGCUGUGGGGUAGGCCCGCAGCUGCAGUCCAAUUAGACCCCUAGCCUGGGAAUUUCCAUAUGCCUUGGGUGUGGCCAUAGGAAAAAAAAAGGUGAAAACAGCCACUCUUUGAAAGACAUCAUUAAGAAACUGAAAAUAGAAACUACAGAUUAAAUAAAAAUAUCCAAACAGUACAUAAAAUAGCUUUAAGAGUGAUUUAUAUAUUCUGUAUGGGUGUACAACUCUUAACAAUAUGUGAGAGGACAAAUUGUGCAAUAUAGUAGGAACCGAAGAGUUGAUAGACACAUCACAAAAGAGUGUUUUCAGGUAGUUCCUCCAGUAACUUAGCAGGUUAUGAAUCUGACUAGUAUCCACAAAGAUGUGGGUUCAAUCCCUGGCCUUGCUCGGUGGGCUAAGGAUCUGGCAUUGCAGACAUCCUUCAUAUUCUCAACAGUAUAAAGCUCAUGAUAUCCAGGAUAUAAUGUGGCUCAGAUGCGGUGUUGCUACGGCUAUGAUAUAGGCCUGCGGCUGCAGCUCCAAUCAGACCCCUUGCCUGGGAACUUCCGUAUGCUGAUCCAUGGCCAUAAAAUGCAAAAAAAUUUUUAAAAGUUAAAAAAAAAGUAUAUACAAAUGGUUGCUAAGCACAUGAAAUAAUGCUCAAUAACGUUAGUCAACAGAGAAAUGUGAAUUCAACUCACAAUGAGAUAAAACUACACAUUAACUUGAAUCUCUAAAAUUAAGACUGACAACCCCAAAUUCUGAUGAGGAUGUAAAGCAAUUGAAAUUAUUAUGUAUUGCUGGUGGGAAGGUAAAAUGGAACAACCACCUUAAAAAACUGAUUGGGGAGCUCCUGCCAUGGCUCAGUGGUUAACGAAUCCGACUAGGAACCAUGAAGUUGAGGGUUCAAUUCCUGGCCUCGCUCAGUGGGUUAAGGAUCCCAUGUUGCCGUGAGCUGUGGUGUAGGUCGCAGAUGCGGCUCGGACACCGUGUUCCUGUGGCUGUGGCAUAGGCCAGCGGCAGAUUAGACUCCUAGCCUGGGAACCUCCAUAUGCCGCAGGUGUGGCCCUAGAAAAGAUAAAAAAAAAAAA
ensembl:lncRNA